CGACCUUUUCUUGUGACAAAAUUCUUGACUUCAUAGCUCUGAAUAAGGUUUCGUAAAGAAAUUUAAUGUGGUAAGCAUCAGCGUAAAUAGAAGAAAUAGAUGUGGUUCUUGAUCACACUCAAGAUGGAAGAUUUGCAGAAUACCUAUGCAGAAAGAAAAAGAAGAGUUCCCAGAAUUGGUUGUGAACUUCAAUCCACGACCUUAAACUCGUAAGUUUCAAAAUUCAGAUCUGCUACAAUGGUCAUUUAAAUGAUGUUACUUUUCAUCUCUCUAUAAAAUGGACUGGAAUGGCGCAAAGUUGUUUCUGAAUGGUUUCUUUUUUCUUUUGUUGUACAGGCGGGGUGGUAAUUUUGGGCAACAGAAGGUGGACAUGCGCACGGAAUGUAUUCCUCCGUCUCAAUUUAUGUAACAGCAUUUUCCUUUAAAAUCUGACCUCAAAAGAAUAUCAUAUAUU
rnacentral:lncRNA from 1 species